CUAUUUUGACUAUUCUUUCUGUCUCUUUUCAUAUCCACUCUGUCUUAAAUGAACAUUCAGAACUAGGGUACCAAUGUUUUCUUUAAUGUUUCAGAUCAUCCAAGCCUAGAAAACAUGGAACAGAUAGAGAAAUUUCAGGAAAAGGCUUAUGUGGAAUUCCAAGAUUAUAUAACCAAAACAUAUCCAGAUGACACCUACAGGUUAUCCAGACUACUACUCAGAUUGCCAGCUUUAAGACUGAUGAAUGCUACCAUCACUGAAGAAUUGUUUUUCAAAGGUCUCAUUGGCAAUAUACGAAUUGACAGUGUUAUCCCACAUAUUUUGAAAAUGGAGCCUGCAGAUUAUAACUCUCAAAUAAUUGGUCACAGCAUUUGAAAACUGUGACUGCAGUGCUGUAAACUUAACUGUUCUUUGCCAGAACACAAGACACCAAAUUGAACUCACUGCUUUUGAGGCAUCUGGAAAUUUUUACUUUAAAAAGUAACCAGAAUCCAAGGUAUUUUUAUUUUAGCUUCCCUUAAGAAUUUUUGAAGUGACUGGGCAGGCAGCAGAAAUUAAAUGAAUUUUUCUUCCUGAUUCCUUUAAAUGAAUAUGAAACACUACAAAUUUAUUCUUGGUGAAGAUGAUACCUGAAGCUGUCACCUCUUGAUUAUCUAAACUAAGCGCUCAUUCUAUUUUAUAAA
rnacentral:lncRNA from 1 species